AAAGGAAUUGACGGGGGCCCGCACAAGCGGAGGAACAUGUGGUUUAAUUCGAUGAUACGCGAGGAACCUUACCCGGGCUUGAAUUGCAGACGAACUCGGCAGAGAUGCCAAGGUCCUUCGGGACGUCUGUGAAGGUGCUGCAUGGUUGUCGUCAGCUCGUGCCGUGAGGUGUCGGCUUAAGUGCCAUAACGAGCGCAACCCCUGUUCUUAGUUGCCAUCACUUCGGGUGGGCACUCUGAGGAUACUGCCACCGUAAGGUGUGAGGAAGGUGGGGAUGACGUCAAAUCAGCACGGCCCUUACGUCCGGGGCUACACACGUGUUACAAUGGAGCAUACAGAGAGUAGGAUGUACGCAAGUGCAUUCCAAUCAAGAAAGUGCUUCUCAGUUCGGACUGGGGUCUGCAACCCGACCCCACGAAGCUGGAUUCGCUAGUAAUCGCGCAUCAGCCAUGGCGCGGUGAAUACGUUCCCGGGCCUUGUACACACCGCCCGU
rnacentral:rRNA from 1 species